UGCUAAAUGCUUGUGACAACAAUGCUUGUCAGAAUGGAGCUGCCUGUGUCCAGGUUUCUGGUUCCUGUACAGCAUACACAUGUACCUGUCCAUCUUGCUACACUGGACAAUUCUGUGAAACUUUAUUGAAUGCUUGUAACAACAAUGCUUGUCAGAAUGGAGCUGCUUGUGUCCAGGUUUCUGGUUCCUGUACAGCAUACACAUGUACCUGUCCAUCAUGCUACACUGGACAAUUCUGUGAAACUUUAUUGAAUGCUUGUUCCAACCACGCUUGUCAAAAUGGAGGUGCCUGUGUCCAAGUUGCUGGUUCUUGUACAGCAUACACAUGUACCUGUCCAUCAUGCUACACUGGACAAUUCUG
rnacentral:lncRNA from 1 species